CGCGGCCGCGUGGGUUCCUCGGAGCCUGAGGGGCUGGGGCCGCGUCCGAGCGCGGGCUGGCGGUAGCCCGCCAAAAUACCCGUGAGUAGGAAGAGGCAAAGACCCCUCCCUCGCUGUUUAUAAACACCGCUACCUGCCCCGUGGAGACCUUAAAUAUCGUCUCCAGGCGAGGAGGUCCAACUACGUACAUCCUCACAAAAAGUUGCACCCCGGUCAGGAAAUGCCUGGAGGCAUCGCAGCGAUGGCAGUCUCCGCAGUGACUGACGUCCCGAAUUCGCCCGUGAGGAUUCACAACGAUCUUCCCAGGCAAAUAUGAAUUACAUUAUUCUUAGGGAGGUCCGAGAAGAGAGUCUGCAACUUGGGCCAGGUGCAAAGUGAGGAGUGGAGUGAAGACUCAGACUCAAGAGAAAAUCUUACUGGAGAAAACCAUGCCAGGCCUGAGAACGUUGAGUACCCGAGGCCAAGUUCAACAAGGCCAGGGAACUUUCUGGCAAGAAAUGAUCCCAUCUGUAACAAGGCCAGUCUCAUGGGCUGUAGCUCACAAUUGGCAGGAAGUUAUGGUGCCAUAACCCAUAUGGAAUAAGAUUCAUCAUUGGGCCCCUGGACUUCUCACCUAGGACUAAGAAUGCCCCUUUGAAUGUCUUCCCUCCUGCCCAGUAGAUUGAAGAUCCAUUGGAGAGUCUGACUCUGGAACCAGUGCUUCAGACAGACAUUGUUGAAGCUGGAUUAAGUGGAUGUACAAGGACCUGCACAUUUGGUACCAGCAUCCUCCCAGUUCACCCCAUACCUCACCCACGUGGACUCAUCAUCCUCAUUUUUGUGCUGCCAAACUUUGCGCAUACCACUUCCUUGCCUGGGAAGGAUUUUCUGGUUCUGCUCGCCUGGAAAAGCCCAAUCAUUCUUCAAGAACCAGCUCCAAGGUCACCUCCUCUAUGAAGGCUCCCCUGAGAGAGGAGGGAACUGUCGUCUAUACACUCAGUUAUUCACCCGACACAUGCUUAUUGAGUGCUGUCCGCACCCUUCAGCCAAGACCACCAGGAACAUGCCAGCAAUGAACUAAGACUGGAUUGGAGAGAGGAGGUGGGAAACCUAUCCCCUGAUGGCACAGCAGAGACAGAGGACAAGGCCAUCCCUAUAGGGGUGAAUCCGCCUUCACCAAGAGUGCCUUCAAGAGGCUGAGGUCCAGGGAACCCGAGAAGACUGAACACAGGUGGGACUACACCUGGGAAAAAAAAUCAAAAAGCGGCAAGGAGGAUGCAAAGGACCCAUGGGAGAAGGUCUCCAAGUGUCUUGGGCUUUAAGUAAGACCAAGGAAUAAGAAAACCAGAAAGAAGCAGGUCUUCCUUAGCACCCAUGUGUUCAUGACUGGCUAACUUUGGCCAACAUAAGAGAGAUCAUCACUGCAGGAGAGAAAAACAUAAAAAUUCUCAACGAUCUCCCUGCCUACUCUGCUCCUGCCCAUCUCCCACGGCCCCUCAUGUACAGCCAGUGCUGCUUUUCCGUUCACGCUGAAACUGGGGGUUUUGGAAGAGUGUCAUCUGGUUUCGUUCAGGCACUGUUUUUCAGUGACUAUGUCAACGUGACAUCAACAUGUUCUGCCUAAUAGCUAUGGGGUACAAAGUGAGGAAAACACAUGCAUAUUGGGAAACAAUUUUGCCACAAAACCGAAGUAUGAAGUUCACGUGAGUACUCACUGAUAAAGGUGAUUUUGAAAAGCUGUUUUUACCUUACAGAUACAUUGCCUUAGGCAGACCCAAAAAUGUUGCAUGGAGAAACUCUUUGGGCCACAAGGGCACUACUGAUACCCCCAAAUAUUCCCAUCUUUCAUUUGAGUGGUCUUGCCUCAUUGUACUAGAGGUUGUUUCCUAUCUCAUCAUUCCUGUUGUUGGGUGGGGGGGAGAGGUC